rnacentral:rRNA from 1 species
AUACGUAUGUCGCAAGCGUUAUCCGGAAUUAUUGGGCGUAAAGCGAGUCUAGGCGGCUUGUUAAGUCAGAUGUGAAAAUGCGGGGCUCAACUCCGUAUUGCGUUUGAAACUGGCAGGCUAGAGUACUGGAGAGGUGGGCGGAACUACAAGUGUAGAGGUGAAAUUCGUAGAUAUUUGUAGGAAUGCCGAUAGUGAAGACAGCUCACUAGACAGAUACUGACGCUAAAGCUCGAAAGCGUGGGGAGCGAACAGGAUUAGAAACCCGGGUAGUCC